rnacentral:lncRNA from 1 species
GGAGACAGCAGCCAUGGUGAGGUAUUGGCCGUGGCGGGGGUCACAAGCAGCCAUCAGGUUUUUGGCAUCGAAGACCUGCUGGGUAACUUUUCUAGUAACUCAUCAAAAGCAAUAAACCUUACCUGAUGUUGUGACUUAGCGAAGCAAGGAUGAACUAGAAAUCUCCAAAGAGGUGAAAAGCAAUCCUCUCAAGAUCCACAAUCAAACCAGAGGCAGCUAGAAGAAAGAAAAGUCUCACUAGCUACAAAUGCAGUGUGACCUGUAUUUCUUUCCAGCUGUGUUUUCUAGGAUCUCAGCUUCCCAGCUGAGUGCUUAUACCUGAAGACCCAAAAGCCUGGUGUGCCCCUUGAUGGAAAGAGAGGAAAUCACAGGAUGUCCAAGGAAGAAAAGAGAAUCAACAAAUGGGUACCCCUGUGAAAGGAAAAUAUCUUGGUCCCCUUCAAACUGGGAACUCUUCAGGAUAAUCUGCCUCCCAUUCUAUUCAAAGUCAUCCCUCUACUCACAGAGAUAGAUGCAUAUUCUGAUUAGCUCCUUUGGAAAGACUUAUCAGAAACCCAAAAGAAUGCAACCAUUUGUUUCUCACCUACCUGUGACCUGGAAGCCCCCAGGGUUGGGGGGUCCUUGCUUUGAACUCUCCCUGCCUUUCUGGAGGGAACCAAUACUUCUUACAUGUAUUGAUUGAUGUCCCAUGUCUCCCUAAAAUGUUUAAAACCAAGCUUUGCCCUGACCACCUUGGGCACAUGUUGUCAAGACCUCCUGAGACUAUGUCAUGGGCUUAUCCUCAACCUUAGCAAAAUAAACUUUCUAAAUUAACUGAGACAUGUCUCAGAUUUUCAGGGUUCACAUUUUGGUAACCAUGGGGGAAUUGUGAAUGGAGAUGCCCCUGACUUUUGACAAAUCUCCUAUCGGUGCUUGGUACCAGCAUGAGCUAACAUUAUGGCUCACACCAAAAGGACAAUUUGCUGAAGUCUGAGAGCACCCCCUCCAGAGAAGUCCUGAUCUCCCAAAAUUUGGUCAAGAUCUAAAGUUUAUUUUGCUGUACAACUCCUCUUUUUCUUGGAGUUUUACUUGCUUCCAACAUAAGGAAGGCAAGUUUUUCCUGCUUCCAUAAUGAUGAAAGGCAGGUAACUCCUUUAUGGAGUUUGAGCUCACUUCCAACAGGGAAGAUGAGUUUUGUUUUGUUUUGUUUUGUUUUUUUCUGCUUCUGGGAUGGUAGAGAGCAGUCUUCAGCCUGAGAUCCAUCCCUAGGUGAGUAAGUGAAUUGGGGUUUGUCUUGGCCAAAGUUAAGAUUAACAACCAGCUGGUCUGAAUUUCUCCUUACCAUUAGAGCGCUCAGUGAUCAAUUGUUGGGUUUCUUUGUUGUUUGUUCCCCUCUGAAGUUGUUGUUUAAGGAUCCUAAUUCUAGUUCUGAGAUGCAUUCUAAAGGGUCCUCUCUGUUGCUUUUUCUCCCAAAUUUAAUCUUAAUUUGGUUUUUCUGUGUGCAUUUGCAUGAGGAACUGAAUUGUUGUUUUCAUAUAUUAAUGAAACUGAGUUUUCUCAGCUGUGAAGAGAAAGGGCAUUUUGCCCCUCCCAGCCAAAAGGCACCCCUGGGCCUCAUGGGAGUGUCUGAGGGGUUGAUCCCCCAUGACAUGCAGUGGCCCUGCAGGGCAAUCCCCCAAAAAACUUAAUUUUAAAAAUGGCUUAUCCAGGAAACACAUACAAGGGCUGAUCACCUGGCAUUUUGAGCCCUCUCUGAGGUCACAGACCUUUGGAGAGAGAAACUGAGGCACAGAAAAGGGUGGAAACGGCUCAGUGGUGACACACUGUAGAGUGCUGCCCGCAAGCAGCACAUAUGAAUCCACCACACAAAAACCUUAGACCACAGCUCAGUUCCUCCUUUUAAGAAAAAAAAGUAAGAAACAAGAGUGAGGAGAAAACAAGGAGAAUGACCCCCUUUUGAGCACUCUGUAGAUUUAAUGGCACCUCUGUUUGCCAAACUUUAUGGAAAUAAUAUGGUCUUUGUGCACAUUUACAUUAAGGAAAAAUAGCCCUAAAGUCAGCCUGCAAACUAGAGCGUUCCUAAGUCCCCCUGUUCUCUAUUUCUUCUUUUCUGCCACUCUAAAUCUGCUGUUAUUUUUCUAUUGAGAUAAAAACCACUGUUUAGAUCCAACAAGUUUUUUUUUUGCAAGCCAGUAAGUUUGUAUUUACUUCAUGGCUAAAAGUUCUGAAGUAAAAGCUAUAGGAUCUUUGUGUGUGUGUGUGUGUGUGUGUGUGUGUGUGUGUGCGCGCGCGCGUGUGUGUGUAUUUUAAAGGACUUUAUAAUUUCUAUAAUCCAACCUUUUUCUUUUUGUAUUUUAUAAUGUAAAUGUUGCUAUUUGACUUUCACCUGAGUUGCUUCCUUUAAUAUGCAAAUUUAAGGCUGUUUAGCUGAAAAUUGCCCAGGGUUGUAAAACAGGUUAUCAAGAAUCUAAAAGUCUAACAUAGGAGAAAAUGGUUUUUAUGAAUCUAUAAUAACAUUAACAUGCCUAACGUAUGUAUUUAUGUGUUGUGUACACAAUGUUUCACUACUAAAAAUAUAUAAAAGAGCUCUAAUUGGCUUACAAAAAAUAAAAGCACUUAGAUACUAAAAAAGAAAAUGCUUUUUCAAGUUCAUGUAACUUAAUUAAAAUCUUUAAUAAAUAAGCUAGCUGUAAAAUUAUUGGUAAAGUAAUAUUAGAAGUGUCCUAAGAAUUGCCAGCAUACAUUUUUGUUUGCAUUUAUUAAUCAAGCAAUUUCAUACUUAUCCCAGCGAAAUACUAUAAGGUAUCAAAAUGUGGCAUAGGGGUUACAAAACUAUAAACCUGGCCCAAAAGAGAAUGAUCUUUGCUUGUGUAAUUUCUUUUUUUUUUUUUCGAGAUAGAGUCUCACUCUGUUGCCCAGGCUGGAGUGCAGUGGUGCGAUCUUGGCUCACUGCAACCUCUGCCUCCUGGGUUCAAGCAAUUCUCCUGCCUCAGCCUCCCAAGUAGAUGGGACUACAAGUGCCCGCCACCACACCCGGCUAAUUUUUUGUAUUUUUAGUAGAGAUGGGGUUUCACCGUGUUAGCCAGGAUGAUCUUGAUUGCUUGUGUAAUUUUUAAUAAAUAAGACAUCAAUAUGGGUUUAAUGAAAAUAGCUGCAUCUUAAAUUUAGUAAGAUUACCGUAACUUCUAAUCUUGUGGCUUUAGGCAGUCUAGUCCACAGGCAAUAAGGAGGUGUGUUUUGGGAAAGGACUGCUACCAUCUUUGUUUGAAAGCUAUAUACUAAGUUCCUCCCAAAGUUAGUUCAGCUGAUGCCCAGGAAUGAACAAGGACAGCUUGAAGGUUAAGAGCAAGAUGGAGUCAGUUAGGUCAAAUCUUUUUUCACUGUCUCAGUUAUAAUUUUGCAAUGGUGGUUUCAUAACUUUGAAUCACGACUAUCACAGUUUUCAUAAAUAAUCUACAUAAACAAUUAAAAUUAAAUAAUUAUGUAAAUGUAAUGGGAUAAAUACUUAUAGCCAAACCAGUCAUAAUUUGGAAUAUAAAGCUAUAUUGAAUUAAUUAAUAGAUAUUUCAUUAUUUGGGUAUUUCCCAAUAAAUAUAUACUGUAGGAAAACAUUCUUCAAAAAAAAAAAGUGCAUCCUUUUAAAAAAAUGUGAACAAAUUUUGUCUAAUUCAAAGCUCAUUUAAAGGUUAUGUGUAAAACAAAAGGAACCAGAAAAAAAAGAAAUGUAAAGAAAGUUAUAAAAAUAAAGAAGUAUUUUGUGGUAAGAAAGCUUUAAGAGAAGUAAUUUUAUAUGAAAAACAAUCUUGUAUGGUAAAUUUAGUCCUAAAAUAAAAUGACCACUUGUUUAAGAAGGAGGAAUGUUCAGGACAAACCAAAAAGUCCAAGCAUGUCAUCAACAGUUGGUGCAAGUCACAGUAAGAGGAUUUAUAUUAAAAAAAAAAAUUUUGGGGGCUGGGCGUGGUGGCUCACGCCUGUAAUCCCAGCACUUUGGGAGGCCGAGGCAGGUGGAUCGCGAGGUCAGGAGAUCGAGACCAUCCUGGCUAACACGGUGAAACCCCGUCUCUACUAAAAAUACAAAAACAAAAUUAGCCAGGUGUGGUGGUAGGCGCCUGUAGUCCCAGCUAUUCGGGAGGCUGAGGCAGGAGAAGGGUGUGAACCUAGGAGGCAGAGCUUGCGGUGAGCCAAGAUCAAGCCACUGCACUCCAGCGUGGGCAACAGAGUGAUACUCUGUCUCGAAAAACCAAAAAGAAAGAAAGAAAAAAAAAAGCUUUGGUAUGAUCAAAUUGUCAUAUUUAAGUUUUGGUUUGCUUAGAAAAAGAGAGAAAAAAAUUUUUUAAUAAAGGUUAUUACAUCCAUGUAUUGUAUGUGCUUUUAAAGUCCUUGUGACAUUAAGUUGCAGGGCUUUGAUUCCUAGGUCUAAAAGGGACAUCAAGUCCUGCUAAAUCUUAAACAUUGACACCAAUCAAAGCCUCAUCUUCAGGCGCUAUAGAAGAUGCCAAUCAAAAUAAACUGCAUUCUUGAGACACAGGGCAAGAAAUUAAAGCUGUUCAACUCCUCAAGGCCCAGGGACUAUUGCAGAAGAGGCGGGCAUGUAAGAUUGUAAGGGUCAGUUUUAAAAGAUAAAAUAAGUUCAGUUUCUCUAUAAAUUAAUUAUUAAUUUCAAAGGCACACUGAUACAAGACCAGCAUAUGGGCCCCUGUGUGGGAUUAACAAGGUUUUUCUGAAGCACUAACCAACUCCUAAAUAAAGCUUAUAAAAGUCUUAUGGGGCCAGGCAUGGUGGCUCAUGCCUGUAAUCCCGGCACUUUGGGAGGCCAAGGCGGGUGGAUCACGAGGUCAGGAGUUUGAGACCAGCCUGACCAACAUGGUGAAAAUCCGUCUCUACUAGAAAUAAAAAAAUUAGCCAGGCGUAGUGGCAUGCUUCUAUAAUCCCAGCUACUCAGGAGGCUGAGGCAGGAGAAUCGCAUGAACGUGAGAGGCGGAAGUUGCAGUGAGCCAAGAUCGCGCCACUGCACUCCAGCCUGGGCGACAGAGUGAGGCUCUGUCUCAAAAAAAAAAAAAAUUCUUAUGGAAGCUGUAUCUUAUGAUCAAGAUUAAAUUUCUUUCUUUUUUUUUUUUGAGAUGGAGUCCCGCUCUGUCACCCAGGCUGGAGUGCAGUGGUGUGAUCUCGGCUCACUGCAAGCUCUGCCUCCCGAGUUCACGCCAUUCUCCUGUCUCAGCCUCCCGAGUAGCUGGGACUACAAGAACCCAUGACCACACCUGGUUAAUUUUUUGUAUUCUUAGUAGAGACGAGGUUUCACUGUGUUAGCCAGGAUGGUCUUGAUCUCCCAACCUCGUGAUGCGCCUGCCUUGGCCUCCCAAAGUGCUGGGAUUACAGGCGUAAGCCGUCGUGCCCGGCCAAGAUUAAAAUUUUAUAGAUUGUUCACAAAAUUUUGAAAAACAAAUUUAACUGGAUUGUUAUUAUUAUUAGGGCUUGUUUGGACAAUUAAGUCUCCUCUCUCAAAGAAUAAAGGUUUUCACCUUUUUAAAAAAAAUCCUUGAGUUAUCACUUUGGUUAAAUAAAUGACUUAUUUUACAAAGAACUGUUGUCUUGUUUUGUGAUAUCAAGUGUUUAAAACCUUUGAUAUUUGACAAAAUUUCCAACAUCAGCUUAUAAAUUAUGUCUUUUUCUGACCUAAUUAAUCAUUUAAGAUAUUAGGUUCCCUAAAUUCCAAAAAAUAACAUAGUUUGGCUUAUUUGGUACAAAAAUUAUACAGGAAGCAUUGUCAAAUAUGAAAUGGUGUUGGGUUUUCUUUGGGCUUUAUUUGUAUAAAUAUGUUAUUGGUAUCUGUUCCAAAAUUAUGGGAAACUCAUAAUUCUGAUAUCUUAGUGUACAUUAUCAGUAAUUGUAAUAAUUGUUAUGUUAACAUUGUUGUGUGCCACAGAGGUAACAAAUUUCCUUAUCAAUUGUGUCUUUGACUAUGGCUGCCCUAAAACUUUUGUCAUCCAUGAACAAUUGUCUUGUUUUGGUCCUCUUUAGAAGAUGGUUUUGUAAUCAACGAUAAAAUUUUAACAGGUACUCUUGAAUGCAAGUUUCUGAUAACCUUGGAGAAUGUGACGUCAGAAUAGAGGAAAAACUUUCAGGACUCAUGGAAUGCUAAAACGUUCAUGAGUAUCAAGCAGAACAGGAAUUAACUGCAUGGACUGAACUAAUCUUGACUUUUUGCUUAAAAUAUUUGCUGACCCUUUGUUUUGUUUUUCAGUGUCUUAAAACUUGUCUUUUGAGCUAUUGACAUCUUUUAACAAUUCAGUAUACUCCUAUGAACACAAUUUGAAGCAUAUUUCUUUCUGUCUACCUGAUUUCUCCAGAAUUUGGAAAUGAUUUAAGAAGAAACUUCAUGAGAGAUGCCAAGCCAGAACCACCCACAUAAGCUAUUUCCUAAUUCGUCAUCCACAGAGUCUUGGAGGAAACUGAGGACGAGAGAAGUUCUAAUGCUUGCCAAGUGGAUUCAUCUAAGGAGAAUCAAGUUUCUUACAGAAAGACAGAGGCAAGGAAAUAUUUACUAGUAAAGUGAAACAGACUCUCCUGUCCUGGCAGAGAAAAGACUUUCCAUUAGGAGUAGAGAGAAAAUUCAAUCUAGCUGUGAAUCUCCUCUUUGCAUGUUCAUGGGAAAUAAAAUCUGUUUUGCCCUGGGACAGCCCUCCCCACACCCUGGAGUGAAUUUCCAAAAUUAGGGCAGGACAUUUUCCUUAUGAUAGCUAUUGAAAAAUUACCCAGGAAUGGGGUGCCUCUGCUCCCUCCCAGCCAAGGUACAAAGAUAUUUUCUCAGACUGAAGGCCCUAGGGCCUAUUGUUCAACAUCUCAUGUCAGUGUCAGUAUUAGAUGCUGCAGGAGAAUGAGCUUAAGUCUAGCCCACUCCACUUUUCUUCCACAUUCCUCCAGUUGCUCUCCCCAAAUUCAUUUCCUGUCUCCCUCACCACUGAGAGCUUAGAUUCCUAAAGAAAAAUGUGUGCAAGCCUAGGGGAACGGUAUCUACCAGUCCUUGGAAACAUGUUUUAUUCUACAUAAACAUAAAGGUCAACUAUAACCCCCAGAGUAAAGGGAGUCAGACUCAGAAAAUAAACACUUUGUUCCCUUUCUAGUAUGUUAACAGCUUUGGAUUGUUGACUGCCCCCAAAGGUCACCAGAACUAAGUUUAUUAAACUUAAUGCUGUAAGAGAGAACUCCACCUUAACCUAUUAUGAGGAGCGGAAAGCCAGGAGAAGACAUUUAUUCAUAGUGUUUUAGGGUCUGAGUUGUGUGAUUUUGUGAUGGAUAUUUCAAGACUGAAAUGUAUUGGUACAGCAAAGCCAGGGUCAUGAAAUUAGUCUUACAAAUAAGCUGUUUGGGGUGGUAGGUAAGCUGUUUUAGUCGGUUUACAAUAUUAUUUCUGAAAGCAGUGAUUCCUAGAGCAAAUAGCUAAGUUAUUUUUACUUGUUUUCAGUAUUGUUUAAGCCAGGAAAGUAUGCCUAAUCUCAGAAUUGUUUAACAUAAAGACACAGAAUUACGUUGGUUUCAAUCCUCAUGACAUCGAGGGAAAAAAACCCAAAUUAAUAUCUCAGAAAGUUAUCCUGCCACUGAAGUAUUAGCAAAAGUCCUUCCCAUUCCAUCUAGCCUUUCCGUAAAUGAAACUACUACCACUUUCAGCUUCAAAUUUCUACAAAUACAUUUCUACAAGAUGAACAUGCUAAGGCCUUUUAGUCAAUAUACUGAAGUCAAUAGAAACUGUGUCAAUGAUUCUCUAAAAUACUAUACUAAAGAGAAAAAACUAUGUUUGAAGCAGAAGCCAGAUAGAUAUUUAACUUCUUCCAGCUGUGGUUUCCUUAGUCAAAAUAAUAUUAUCAUUAUUGUGGGCAUUAAAGACAUAAUGCAUAUGUAUUCAGAAUAAUUUUGGGUGAUUUUAAAGUAAUGCAUUUUUUACUUCAGAAAUUAUUAGUUCCAAAUCGUUCCCACAACUCACAGAUAUUAAGUGAUAUCAGAAAGAGAGUUUCUUCUAUAACGAAACAAAAAAUCCCUCAUCCAUUCUGACGGCUCUCCAAGGAGGCUUGCUGCCCCAUGGUAAAAGAAGUUAUGACAUGAAAGAAGAAAAUGAAUCCCAUAUUUUCUAGAAUAAGGGGUUAUAAAGAGGUCAGAAUGAGAGCAAAGAGGUUAGGCACCAGGGUUCUCAUUUAUCCUCUUCUAUUGUGGUUGUUAAAGAUUCUAGAAACAUCCUGAUGAGAAUGGGAGAGUUCAAGAACUCCAGGGCUAAUGGCUGUCUUUCUUGGGUGCACGAGUGACAAAGAUUUCCUCCUUGACCAAAUUUUAGUUAGGCUCCUCUGAGCCUUCUUGACUAAGCCUCUACUUUGGUCUGUCUUUAAUAAGAAUCCUGCUAAUUCAGUUUAGUGAGAAUCCUUCACCCUUGAUAUCUGAUCAAGUUCUUCACUUCUCACCCUUGAUGUCUAAAUCCUUAGCCUGCCUUUAGCAAGAAUCCCUCUGCCCUCUCCUUUUAGUAGUUUUGCAUCCACUGAUGCCUUCAUUGUGCUUGUUGGCUGUAACUUCCAACUCCUGUCUUUAUUGUAUUUGGAGUUGAGCUCAAUUUCUCUUCUUUAUUGCUAAGUCAUGACCCCUCUUACAAUAGUUUUGAAUAAAUCUCACUUACCAUUUUUAACAGUGUCUGAAUAAUUUUUCUUGAAUAUGAAGGGCACAAAAAGCUAAGAAAAUUCUAGAUGCAGCCAUUUCUGCAAUAGUGUGGAAUAAUGAUGGACCAGCAGCAGUAGAAAGUGUUCAACCUCAUGAGCCUAAAGAGAGUUUCCUAUUCCUGUGUCUUGUGUGUGGUGUACUGGGGUUCCAGAAGCUCUCACUUGUCCUUUUAAGGACACAAGAAGAACCAUACAUACCUCAUAGUAACCAUACCCCAUAGUAACCAGUCCAGGGCCACCAUGGACCAGUCACUCUAUAACAGAGAUGGUAAUGGUUCAGAAAUCUUGGCUCAGAUUUGAGACCAACAUAUCCCAUCCCCUCUGAAAUGAAAGGACAGGAAUUGCUUUGUUUAUGUGCAUAUGUUUUGUUCAUGUCUGUAUCUCCAACUUAUUUUUUUGUUUUUAAUACAAUUUAUUUAAUUGUAUGUUUAUAUAAUUAUAUAAUGGCCAGAUUUAACAAUUGGCUUGCACAAUUCCUGAAAUUUUAACAAUCACUUCUUAUGAACCUGAAUAGACCAGCUCCAGCACAGCAAUAGUAGUGAUUUGAACCAGGCGAUGUGAAGUAUACAUGCCCUAAGAAGUAGGAUAUCGCCUCUAUAUUCUAAAUAAUUAAUAGGGCUUGGUAUUCUUUUGACAUCUCAGACAGCACUGCAGUAAGUACCAUGGUCUAUAGCUCUGGUUGUAUAUAAAAAUCUCAGUCAUCCCAGGUUACAAACAAUUGUUUAGCUAACAUAAUAAUAUCUUUCAUUGUGAAGUAUCUUUUUAACCUCAAGAUUUAG